rnacentral:rRNA from 1 species
AUUGAACGCUGGCGGCAGGCCUAACACAUGCAAGUCGAACGAGUGGCGGACGGGUGAGUAAUGUCUGGGAAACUGCCUGAUGGAGGGGGAUAACUACUGGAAACGGUAGCUAAUACCGCAUACCAUCAGAUGUGCCCAGAUGGGAUUAGCUAGUUGGUGGGGUAACGGCUCACCAAGGCGACGUUCCCUAGCUGGUCUGAGAGGAUGACCAGCCACACGGGAACUGAGACCCGGUCCAGACUCCUACGGGAGGCAGCAGUGGGGAAAAUUGAACAAGGGGCGCAAGCCUGAUGAAGCCAUGCCGCGUGUAGGAAGAAGGCCUUCGGGUUUUAAAGUACGUUCAGCGGGGAGGCGUUACCCGAAGAAGAAGCACCGGCUAACUCCGUGCCAGCCGCCGCGGUAAUAC